AACAGGUGUGGGCUCUUUUCCUGUCGAAUCACGCCGUGGGCGCUUGUCCCGGGAGGCCAGCUCUGCUUGCUGACCCGUCUAAAAGCAGAACAGUGACGUGGCUCAACAGCAGUAAAAGAAUCACGGAACGGGAUCAUCCGACUGCUCUUGGGAGUAUCCGUUCAGACAGAGGUGUUGUCAUCAGCAGAGACCCUGACCGAACAGGUUUCCCAUUGAAAUGGGAUAUUUUCCAUCGGGAGGCCCCAGCCAUAUGUCACCGAGAGGACAACGCUCUCAACGCUCCACUGUAUCGAACCGAGGUUUAUACCCAGAGACAGCUGAGAGGAUCGUUGGAUAAGGCGCAAUCCCCCUACGUCCGGACAGAAAGCACACAUCCGUUCUCCCCACCGUGCGGAAGAGGAGCAGCUGAGAGAUCUUUAUAAAUGAUACUCUCCGUAGUCCAGUUGUUGGCUCGGGUAGUC